rnacentral:rRNA from 1 species
UACGUAGGGGGCAAGCGUUGUCCGGAAUCAUUGGGCGUAAAGCGCGUGUAGGCGGCUCGAUAAGUCCGCUCUGAAAGUCCAGGGCUCAACCCUGGGAUGCGGGUGGAUACUGUCGGGCUCGAGUCCGGAAGAGGCGAGUGGAAUUCCUGGUGUAGCGGUGAAAUGCGCAGAUAUCAGGAAGAACACCAAUGGCGAAGGCAGCUCUCUGGGACGGUACUGACGCUGAGACGCGAAAGCGUGGGGAGCGAACAGG